CCCUUAGAUGUUCUGGGCCGCACGCGCGCUACACUGAUGCAUUCAACAAGCCUAGCCUUGACCGAGAGGUCCGGGUAAUCUUUGAAACUGCAUCGUGAUGGGGCUAGAUUAUUGCAAUUAUUAAUCUUCAACGAGGAAUGCCUAGUAAGCGUGAUUCAUCAAAUCGCGUUGAUUACGUCCCUGCCCUUUGUACACACCGCCCGUCGCUCCUACCGAUUGAAUGUGUUGGUGAGGAGCUCGGAUUGGCAGCAGUUGGUGGUUCGCCACCGGCUACUGCUGAGAAGUCCUCCAAACCGCCCCAUUUAGAGGAAGGAGAAGUCGUAACA
rnacentral:rRNA from 1 species